rnacentral:rRNA from 1 species
GGAUGAACGCUGGCGGCGUGCCUAAUACAUGCAAGUCGAGCGAACAGACGAGGAGCUUGCUCCUCUGACGUUAGCGGCGGACGGGUGAGUAACACGUGGAUAACCUACCUAUAAGACUGGGAUAACUUCGGGAAACCGGAGCUAAUACCGGAUAAUAUAUUGAACCGCAUGGUUCAAUAGUGAAAGACGGUUUUGCUGUCACUUAUAGAUGGAUCCGCGCCGCAUUAGCUAGUUGGUAAGGUAACGGCUUACCAAGGCAACGAUGCGUAGCCGACCUGAGAGGGUGAUCCGCCACACUGGAACUGAGACACGGUCCAGACUCCUACGGGAGGCAGCAGUAGGGAAUCUUCCGCAAUGGGCGAAAGCCUGACGGAGCAACGCCGCGUGAGUGAUGAAGGUCUUCGGAUCGUAAAACUCUGUUAUUAGGGAAGAACAAAUGUGUAAGUAACUAUGCACGUCUUGACGGUACCUAAUCAGAAAGCCACGGCUAACUACGUG